UUAUAGUUAUGGCUAGAGUAGCGCGUCGUACUUUGGUUACUUGAUAAAAUAGUGUAACUUAAGUAGCGUGUCGUAUUCUGAUUGGUUAAGUCUUGUUUGAUCAUGCAUUGCUUGCGUGAUUGAGUGAUGUCGUGCUUAUCGCUGCUAUGCAGAUGUAAGUAUAUGUAAGUAAUACAAUUCCUUUAGAAUUUGUUUUUAGAAAAUUUUAUUUCCCUUGGUAAUCCCAAGGGCAGCCGGUCUCAGCGGAAGAGUUGAAAUAACUGACUACAUAAGAGCGACGUUAGCGUCUAAAUACCUACACUACUUUGCCCUAACUUUAGUUGCUGCACGUUAUUGGCCGCGUGACUUCUUAGUUGCUUACACUAGCAACUGUUUACCCAAUUCUUUGCUGUCUUGCGUUUAUUUUGUUGUUGUCACGCGAAUUAAGAAUGCUAUUUAGGCAAUUCUAAAAAAUAUAUAUUUUACCAGGAUAUCACUCCUGGGUUUCUCUUUAUUUAAUAUAAAAGUAUUAUACAAUACAUCUGACUAUAUCUAAAGUUUAUGUUAAACUGAGUUGAAAGAACACACAGUGUGCGAUCCAUUGUAUUUAUAGCUUUAUACUGAUGUAGCGUGGCGUGCUGUGAUUGGUUGUUUUAGGUGGCGUGAUAUUUGCUGUAAAUUCUUGUGGCAUGAUAUUAUCUCCCUUUGUUUGAUUAUUCACGUUGUAUGUGCAUGAUGUGCUGUUGCUAGGUGAUAUUGUUACAUAUAUAUAUUAUACAGUGGAACUUCCUUAACUCGAAUGUCCAAGGGACAGAAAGUAGAGUUCGAGUUACGGAAAAUUCGAAUUAUGGAAAAUACACUAAGUUGAGUUCAAAUUUAUUUACAUAUGUAUGUAUGUACAUGUUUAUUUAAAAAGACAGUUUGUAAUACAUACUUAUGUAGUAUAAGUUAAGCAGGUUAGGUUUUAUUAAUAAACUUUAUUAAUUAAUUUAUCACCUGUAACUAAUGAGUUGUCUCGAAGAACUGUCCUGCUAUGCUAACAGCGCAGCCUUAAACACCCUCUCGUCUAAUGGUUUUCAGGUGUUGUUGUUAUGGUUGCGCGCAGUGAUCUUAUGCGCUUUAUUAUACUGUUGCUGGGUUACCUAACUAACCCAAGCGCAUGGUGAAGCUAUUGUUAGGCAAGCGAUGAACUCGUGCGCCGAGUUGGGCUGUUGGCGGGCUGCUUGGCUAACCCAUGCACACGGUAGAGCUGUUGCUGGGCGGCUUAGACUGCAUACACAUGUGCGAGGUGUUGCUGUUGUUAGGUGGUGAUAGAAUUACGCGCUAUCCUGCGCCGUUGCGAUGUUGCUAGGCAAACACAUGGGCAAGGUUAAUUGCCUGCGCAGUGUUCUUAAGCGCCGGACUGUUCCGAUGUUGGACAGCUUAGAAAACAUAUGCGCGAGGUGUUGAUGUUGCUAAGCGCCACUGUCGAAAGGUUGCGUGAUGAUGACGUACGCUAAGCUGUGUUAUCCAAAAGACUGGUCCUACCAUACCAUUAUAGAACCUCCGCCAUGUUUAAUGGUCUUUCGGGUUAAAUGGUCUAAAGGGUUAAAUUCAGCGUUCAGUGGGCGUCGAACGAACAUUCUACCAUCGGAUCCGAAUAAAUUUACUUUGGUCUCGUCCGACCAAAGGACAUUUUUCCAGUUUUCCCGCAACAAGUGCCUCUGCGCGAACUGCAAUCGUUGAUUCACGUUCUUUUUGCUCAAAUACGGGACUACGUUGAACACCAUAUUUCUGGAGCAUUCCAUUAUUGCAGCUAUUUCGCGAAUGGUUUUUCCAAUUUUUCGUAGUUUUUUUAUGGUUUUACGUUCGGUUUCCGAGCAAUGUUUGGCGCGACCCAUUACAGAUAAUUUUAGGAUUUUUUUUUAGUACUAUCUUGUAAAAACUUAUAACACAGCAAAUCACUAUGAAUUAAUAAUGAUCUUUCGAAAAUUUCCGCAAUGCAUACAGCGCGAACGACCAAACUUAUUCUGUCCCUAUUAUUUUUUCCAUUCAAAAACAUGUGCAUCAGCUUUAAAACGCAAUUAUUCAUAGUUGUGCUGCCUACUAUGCUUUAAGUGCGUAUGAAGUAAAGUACCGUUAAGUAACUGAAGUUAACAGUGGCUUCCAACAAAAUAGCACAGAAUUAUAAAAAUUAUGGAAUAGUAUAAAGUAAUAUGGGGAUGUCCCUAUUAUUUUUUCCAACACUGUAUGUGUACGCAUUUACUUAUUCAAUAAUGCACACCUGCACUUACCAAUUGCUUUGCACUUUCACCUUUUUGGAGUAAAAACGCUAGGGGUUGUAUAAAUUUUCGACUUUUGGAUUUAUUCCAGACAAAUGCUUCACAGUAGUUUAUAUGAAUUUCAAUGCUUUUGUCAAGAAUGUCCAAAUUGUUUAUUUCAAAUUAUUUUCAAACGAAUACCAAGUUUACUUUAAAAUUAUUAUUGAACGAAUACCAAAAUAUAUUGAAAAGAAACAAAAAGAACAAUUAAACUUUUAAAUCGUAUACUUUUGCGGUAAAAGCAGAACAUGAUGUUAACAGUAUUCCGUUUUUUAUGAUUUCCGAGUUCUUGGAAACCCCUGCGUAUGCGGUGGUGUGGGAGUUUCUAAACCCAUAUGUUUAAAUAAACUUCCAUUCUUUUUAACAAGGGUUGGUUCUAUCAUCUCAAUGCCUUGGCUAACAAUAAUUUUAAAUAAAUGUGCCAAUUCUACCGAAAUUUCGGUGCCAGAACUGAAAGGUCCUGUUGGUGCAGUGGAAUAAUAUUCCUUGGCACAGGUGGUCUAAUUAGAUUAUUUAGGCCAUUAUUUCAUUUUUCUUUUAUUAAUUAUUCUUUUAUGACAAUAAGGAUAUAAAUGAUUCCUUGAUUUGUUAUUUUAAUAUGUAUAAUUUGUUUUUUUUUUAUUAUAUUCCUGCAAUAUACGAGUAUGUAAGUUAAUGGUUGCCUCCAAAUAAUUAAUUACGCGCUCUUUUGAAUUGUAAAGUUGAACUCAAAUUUCUUUAUUGAAUACAUUUCUUUUAUACAGAAUUUUGCUUAUUUACUAGUACUUGUUUCUAUAUACUCUAUAAUGAUAACGUUAACAAUAAUUAUAGCAAAACAGCAAACCUCAGUUUGGUCGAGAAACGGCCUAUGUACAUACAUUGUGGCGGCACGGCUUCCGCUCUGGUUUAGUGCCGACGAAAUAUGCUGUUGUCGUAAAUUUUGGAAAUCAACUUUAUUGAGCAACAAUGAUAUUGUUUAUUUGAAGAAUAUUGCUGAAUUGAAUUUCUGUUUAUAGUUGCAACAUUCUUGCCAGUAUAUUUUACUAGCUACGACAACUUUGUUGUUGUAUAUUUUGUUAGCUAUGUUAGCUGUGAUAACUUGUAUGUACAGUUUUUAUAGUCCUAAAAUUUAAAGAGUAUGCAUGAAUCUUAACGCAAUUAUUUAAUUCAUAUAAUUUUAAGAAAUCUAUUAUUUUUGAUAAUAAUUAUUUUUAAUAUUAAUUUUAUGUUAGCGUAAGUUAUUAUUGUAAACAUUUUGAGUCUCAAGAGACAAAUUUUUUUUUCGAAUAAACAAAAACAACAACACUAGCAAAUAAAAUCAUAAAUAAAAUACAUAAUUUUCUAACAAUCAUCCUUGAUUUACUUACUAAAAUCUCGAGGCAACAAUUAAGUAAAAA